rnacentral:rRNA from 1 species
UGGGGAAUUUUGGACAAUGGGCGAAAGCCUGAUCCAGCAAUGCCGCGUGUGUGAAGAAGGCCUUCGGGUUGUAAAGCACUUUUGUCCGGAAAGAAAUCCUUGGCUCUAAUACAGUCGGGGGAUGACGGUACCGGAAGAAUAAGCACCGGCUAACUACGUGCCAGCAGCCGCGGUAAUACGUAGGGUGCAAGCGUUAAUCGGAAUUACUGGGCGUAAAGCGAGUGUAGGCGGUUGCCGUAGUCAGGUGUGAAAGCCUUGAGCUCAACUCAAGAAAUGCACUUGAUACUGGGUGACUAGAGGACCGGAGAGGAUAGUGGAAUUCCCAGUGUAGUGGUGAAAUACGUAGAGAUUGGGAAGAACACCAGUGGCGAAGGCGGCUAUCUGGACGGUUACUGACGCUAAGACUCGAAAGCGUGGGGAGCAAACAGGAUUAGAUACCCUGGUAGUCCACGCCGUAAACGAUGGGUGCUAGACGUUGGCGAGCUUGCUCGUCAGUGUCGCAGCUAACGCGUUAAGCA